AAGAAUAUACUUUCAGGGAUCAUUUCUAUAGUCUCUGACUUGAGGAAAUCUGUUUCUAAAGUGUUCUGUCUCGCCAACCACGAUGAAGAGUCCUGAUACUUCUUCCUGAGCAUGAAGUGGACAGAAAGAAAUGAUACAUUUCAUCUGCUUUCUGUCUUUGAUGAUUGUUUAUUGUCUUCACUCAGGGGUGAUGAGAGGAGGAGUAUGGUCAGCGUGGU